UCUCUGGAUCAGCUGCUUUGACUAUUUGA
rnacentral:piRNA from 2 species